GUACAUUUGGUGUAGUGAUAUCAUAAUACCCUCCCACGAUACUGACCAAGGUUCAAUUCCCUGAAUGCGUA
rnacentral:tRNA from 1 species